ensembl:lncRNA
CGGGAACACAAGCGGAGCCCCGAGUGUGCACCGCUGCGGGUAUCUGCCAGCACGUUUGCACGUUUGCACAUUGCAGUUCCUGUGUCCCCCCUCCUGUUCCCCGGCCUCUGGAUCGGCGUGCGCCCCGGCGGAGCCGCCCGGGUGCCUAAGGAAGCGCUUGGCUAGCUCGUGCCCACUCGCGACGCGCGGGGCCGAGCGGGGCCACGCGGCGCAUCCGCGCAGCCAGUGCCUGUGAAGUUAAAACAGCCCGAACUCUUAGUGCCCGAGAGUGGAUUGCAUGCCAAUUCUCCAAGGCAAGAUCCCUAAAUACAUAUAUUUACAGUAACUCAUGGUCUGGUCGCAAGGAACACGUUGUUUAUUCACUGAAACAGCACGAGUUCAGUGUCCUUACGCUACAGGAUACAGGAUAGGAAGGUUCCCUAGCGGCGUCCCUGUAAUGAAUGAUCCAAGAGUAACACCACCACAACCUGCGAGGAAGGCACAGUGGUUUCGGCACAGAGGUUUGUGCCCGUCCCUUCAGUCCGGGAAUUCCGAAGCGCCGGUGUCCACCGGCGUGACCGUGGAUCGGGGCGUGCUCCUGCGAGUCCGGCGAGUUCGUGUCCACCGCCUGGCCGCCCGCCCCAGAAACCUGGCUCCGGGAGAUGGGUCCUGCCUUCCAGUGGGCAGAAGGAAAGGAUGCCAGCAAAAAUGGCUAAUCCUCUUCCAGCUGCAGUAAAUUGACGACUGGCCAAAGCCAAGCGAAACCCGCUGCAGUUAAAAAGAUUUUAGCUUCACGUCUGGGGCUGAGAAUGGAGCGGCAGUAUAUAAAACGACCUGUGGAUCAAUGGAAAGGAGAUCGUAGUGUCUCCGAAUAUUAAUACGGAGCAUAAGGAAGGAAGGACAGAAACUCCAACAGACCAAGUUCCUGAACAGUGUCCUGAGCUCCAGGCAGGGCUCUUUUUGGUUAGGAAAAGAGAAGACUCACUGAGCUCCUAGAGAAAUGAAGAGCUGGGUGUUGGCCUGGUCAGGGCUUCAGUGUCAAAUAUCUUCCUGUUGGAAGAUAGGAAACAGGAAGCAACCUGUUGGAAAGAUCGACCUGGGAUUUGUAGUGUCAUCAGCCACCUGGUUCCACACUACAAAGAUGCAGAGGACACCGGACCACCAGACCACUGUACUGGGUAAGUUGGAGUCAUCAUCACCUCCCAUCAAGACCGGGACUAUCUUCAGGGGAAGGGCAACUGGAACCUGCAAUACAACUCUGGGAGUUCAACCCUACAGGAGGACAGGGAACUCAACUUGGGACUUGCAGCCAGAAAUCUGCCUGAAUUUCACGGGUGUGAGACUAGCUUGUUGAGACUCAUUGACUUAUAUCUGCACACUGCUACCCACGUUGUUUAUUGUGACAGCAGAGACAUACCCUGAAAGAGGCCCUUCAUCUUCAUUGUUAUUUUUUAUUCCCAAAAUUAGUGUUAUUAGUUUUCUUUUCUCUUUUCUUUUCUUUUGAUCCUCUUAUCUUUUUUCCUACUCUUUGCAAAUAUUUGUUUUUCUCUCCAUUUUUUCUUUUCUUUUCUUCUUUCUUUUCUCUUUCCUUUAUCUCUCUCUUACACUCACUCUCUUGCUCUCCCACAUUGUUCAUCUUCCCUUUUUGUCCCUGUUUUGGUCCUUGUUUGGAGUUCUUCUUUAUUUUCCUAUUAGUAUCUUUUUCCUUCUCACCUGUGUCCUCUGGCCACACUGCUAACCUUCCCCUAUCCUUCUUCCCAUCUGUCAAUCCCUCCCCAACCCCUUCUAACUCCCCAUCCCAAAUGGUAAAGUUGUUAUAUUGAGGAGUUUAUUCACUAUAUGUUUGGUUGGUCCUCGACCUUGAUUUAAUUCACACAGCUAAAGGUGAUAGAUUAUUAACUACCACAAAAUGUCAUUUUCAAAGAUGUACUUGAUGCUAUGGUGUUGGUGAUUGUAUCACUUGGGCUAGGGUGUUGUUAUUGAUCUAGUCAAUGAACCUUCCUAGUAUAAGGAAAAUGAGAUAGCCUUAGAGUCAUUAGAGGCUCAAAACUUAAAGACCAGCUAUAUUGGGAAGACACCUCUGAGAAGCAAUCAUUCCAUAAGGGUUCUAAUUACAAGCAACAAAGAUACCUACAAUAAGCAAUUUCAAACUGUCAACCCAGGAAUUAAACCAAGGACAGUAUUAAAAACAAAAAUGAGAAGACAUUUAAGCAAGGCACAAACUCAGACUUCCACCCCACCAAGGGUAAAUCCUGGGGGAAAUGAGAUGGAAAAGUGCCAUAACCAACCACCUGGAUACCCUGAACUGAUAGCAUAGGGAGUAACAAAACAGAUGAAUGAGGCUAUAGAAAAAUUCAAAGCAGAAAUAAUCUCCCAGAUAUCUACAGAGAUGGUGAGCAGAGUGAAAGACAUGAUUAGAGGAUCUAGAACAGAAACAGAUAAAAAAAUAGAUGAGCUCAGAAAUAUGCUGGAAUCCAUGAAUACCCAGCACAAGAAAGAAAUGGAAACCAUGAUCACCCAGCAUAAGAAAGAAAUGGAAUCCAUGAAACAGAUUCAAACAGAUAUUCAGGAGAUCAAAAACUCCAUUGAAAGUAUCCACAGCAGAUUAAGGGAAUCUGAAGAUAGAAUAUCAGAUAUAGAAGACAGAAUCGUGG